rnacentral:lncRNA from 1 species
CCAAUUUGUCGAUGUGGCAUUGUUGCGAUACUCCAGUCUAAAUGCCUCGGUGGCGCCAAGUUCUUUGGUUGUAUCUUCGUAGCUGAUGGGUGUGAGUGGAAGCUUAUGGUGGAUCCAACGCAGGGGCGGGAAGAAUAGGAGGACGACGAGUACGGAUGAGUAAUAGCAUUUACACAAACAGCUCUUGUGUUUGCAUCGGGCGUUUGGUGUCCUUGCCGUACACAGACGUCCCUCACGGGUUAAGGGGAUCAGGGUCAUAACUAUGUAUUUCCAUUGCACUCACCUAUUGCACGUACGUAGUUGUAUACUUUCCGGACUUCCAAUUUUUCUCAUUCUAUUAUUGUUAGAGUACUACAAAGUGAUGUACUACUCCUGGAACUUCUAUAAAUAUCAGCACCACUGAUGCAACAACUAUAAAUCACACUAGUAAUUGCAUUAACGUAAUCAGUUCCAUGUCCACCAGCCCCCCUUUGUCUCUCGCCAUAUCCACUAGCAGCGUACCUCACAGUCCAAAGUAAUGAGCCUCAUUAUCAUCUGUGCAGGUGACCUCCCUGUCAGACGAAUCACUUCUUUUGCUGCGCCAUACUCUCGCGUGGAUGAUUGUCCCUUAUGUGCUGAAACACCAACCAGAGCCCGUCUGUUUAUACAACGAAGGAACGCGUGUUAGCCGAGAAGGUCAUAGGUCUGAAAUAGGAGUUGGAAGACUUGGAAGAACACAACAUGCGAAUGCGACGUAUCAAGAAAGGGUCGGAUGACAAUAGUGAGUAGUCGUUGCGGCACUGUCCUCAAUGUAGUACUAUCAGUCUCACCUGAUUUUGAAAGGGCAGUAAUAAGAUGUAUGAACGGACAAUAACUAUUCCGCAAUAAGAAGUUUAGGAAAUUUCCGUCCAGCGUUUUCUUUAUAAAACAAGGC